CCUACGGGAGGCAGCAGUGAGGAAUAUUGGUCAAUGGGCGCGAGCCUGAACCAGCCAAGUAGCGUGAAGGAUGACUGCCCUACGGGUUGUAAACUUCUUUUAUAAAGGAAUAAAGUGAGGCACGUGUGCCUUUUUGUAUGUACUUUAUGAAUAAGGAUAGGCUAACUCCGUGCCAGCAGCCGCGGUAAUACGGAGGAUCCGGGCGUUAUCCGGAUUUAUUGGGUUUAAAGGGUGCGUAGGCGGCCUUUUAAGUCAGCGGUGAAAGUCUGUGGCUCAACCAUAGAAUUGCCGUUGAAACUGGGGGGCUUGAGUAUGUUUGAGGCAGGCGGAAUGCGUGGUGUAGCGGUGAAAUGCUUAGAGAUCACGCAGAACCCCGAUGGCGAAGGCAGCCUGCCAAGCCAUGACUGACGCUGAUGCACGAAAGCGUGGGGAUCAAACAGGAUUAGAUACCCUAGUAGUC
rnacentral:rRNA from 1 species